AAAAGAAACUAACAAGGAUUCCCCUAGUAACGGCGAGUGAAGAGGGAAGAGCUCAAAUUUUAAAUCUGCCUUGUUUUCAGGGUCGAGUUGUAAUUUGAAGAAGCGUUUUCUUGGGCUCGCGGCCGGUAGAAGUUCUUUGGAACAGGACAUCAUAGAGGGUGACAAUCCCGUCUGCGACCGGUCGUGUGUUCAUCUACGAUACGCUUUCAAAGAGUCGAGUUGUUUGGGAUUGCAGCUCCAAAUGGGUGGUAAACAUCACCUAAGGCUAAAUAUUGGCGAGAGACCGAUAGCGAACAAGUACCGUGAGGGAAAGAUGAAAAGAACUUUGAAAAGAGAGUUAAACAGUACGUGAAAUUGUUGAAAGGGAAACGAUUGAAGUCAGUCGUGCUGGCGCGAAAUCAACCUUCUCGUCUUGAGAUCACAUGGCGUGGCGAGCCUCAAAACCGUCACGAAGCGUGAACUCUUGGUGAAAUGGAGCACUUUCGUGUCCGCUGGUUAACAUCAAUUUCGAACGUCAUAAAAAGGCUGGAGGGAUGUGGCUCCUUCGGGAGUGUUAUAACCUUUAGCGGAAUGUGGUGGUCGGGAUUGAGGAUUGCAACG
rnacentral:rRNA from 1 species